rnacentral:rRNA from 1 species
AGAGUUUGAUCAUGGCUCAGAUUGAACGCUGGCGGCAGGCCUAACACAUGCAAGUCGAGCGGUAGCACAGGGGAGCUUGCUCCCUGGGUGACGAGCGGCGGACGGGUGAGUAACACGUGGGUAACCUGCCUCAUAGAGGGGAAUAGCCUUCCAAAAGGAAGAUUAAUACCGCAUAAGAUUGUAGUUUCGCAUGAAACAGCAAUUAAAGGAGUAAUCCGCUAUGAGAUGGACCCGCGUCGCAUUAGCUAGUUGGUGAGGUAACGGCUCACCAAGGCGACGAUGCGUAGCCGACCUGAGAGGGUGAUCGGCCACAUUGGGACUGAGACACGGCCCAGACUCCUACGGGAGGCAGCAGUGGGGAAUAUUGCACAAUGGGGGAAACCCUGAUGCAGCAACGCCGCGUGAGUGAUGACGGUCUUCGGAUUGUAAAACUCUGUCUUCAGGGACGAUAAUGACGGUACCUGAGGAGGAAGCCACGGCUAACUACGUGCCAGCAGCCGCGGUAAUACGUAGGUGGCAAGCGUUGUCCGGAUCUACUGGGCGUAAAGGGAGCGUAGGUGGAUAUUUAAGUGGGAUGUGAAAUACUCGGGCUUAACCUGAGUGCUGCAUUCCAAACUGGAUAUCUAGAGUGCAGGAGAGGAAAGUAGAAUUCCUAGUGUAGCGGUGAAAUGCGUAGAUAUUAGGAAGAACACCAGUGGCGAAGGCGACUUUCUGGACUGUAACUGACACUGAGGCUCGAAAGCGUGGGGAGCAAACAGG